AGGAACAUCGUAUAGCGGCAAUUACGACUGACUGUAAAUCAGUUGCUUAGGCUUCACAGGUUCGAGUCCUGUUGUUCCUA
rnacentral:tRNA from 1 species